UGUCCGGAAUCCCGAAGAGAUUUGGGAGUGCUCGCAAGAGAACCGGAACACAGGUGCUGCAUGGCUGUCGUCAGCUCGUGUCGUGAGAUGUUGGGUUAAGUCCCGCAACGAGCGCAACCCUUGUCAUUAGUUGCCAUCAUUUGGUUGGGCACUCUAAUGAGACUGCCGGUGACAAACCGGAGGAAGGUGGGGAUGACGUCAAGUCCUCAUGGCCCUUAUGGGUAGGGCUUCACACGUCAUACAAUGGUCGGUACAGAGGGUUGCCAACCCGCGAGGGGGAGCUAAUCCCACAAAGCCGAUCGUAGUCCGGAUCGCAGUCUGCAACUCGACUGCGUGAAGUCGGAAUCGCUAGUAAUCGUGGAUCAGCAUGUCACGGUGAAUACGUUCCCGGGUCUU
rnacentral:rRNA from 1 species